ACGGGAGGCAGCAGUGAGGAAUAUUGGUCAAUGGACGGAAGUCUGAACCAGCCAAGUCGCGUGAAGGAUGAAGGUAUUAUGUAUUGUAAACUUCUUUAGCAGUGGAGUAAUAAGGGGAUCGCGAUCCCUGAUGCAAGUACACUGAGAAUAAGGAUCGGCUAACUCCGUGCCAGCAGCCGCGGUAAUACGGAGGAUCCGAGCGUUAUCCGGAUUUAUUGGGUUUAAAGGGUGCGCAGGCGGGCUGCUAAGUCUCCGGUGAAAUGUCAGGGCUCAACCUUGGCACUGCCGGAGAUACUGGCGGCCUUGAGAGUGGCGGAGGUAUCCGGAAUGUGUGGUGUAGCGGUGAAAUGCAUAGAUAUCACACAGAACACCGAUUGCGAAGGCAGGAUACCAUACCAUAUCUGACGCUCAGGCACGAAAGCGUGGGGAUCGAACAGGAUUAGAUACCCUGGUA
rnacentral:rRNA from 2 species